AAGCAUUAGCAACAGGAUAUUCGUAUAAUCCCGGGAAUUGGCCCGGGAGUUUCUACGAGGUCACCGUAAUGGCCUGGCUACGAAAAUAAGAAAGCUGUCC
rnacentral:ncRNA from 14 species